rnacentral:lncRNA from 1 species
CAUGAAGUGUUUUUAUCAUCUUAAGAUUUUGAUUGAACUACUAGGAAUGAAGACUUCCUUAAUCUUUCUUAUACUCGACUACACCUGCAUAGGACUUGUGCCCGUAGAGUGAAAGAAAAACGUCAAUAUUUCAUUUGAUUUAGGAAAAUAUAUUUGCCAAAAUCAUUUGGGUUUAAUACAUGGAAGUUAUUUAAGCAAUGGAGCAGCCACCUCAUGUGAGGCCUUCUACUCUUGCGUAAGUUGAAUUGCAUUUUAAUAAUAUUAUGGAGGUUUAUUUUGAGAAUUAGAUUAAAAAUUUCAUUGAAGAUAAGUUCUUUUAAAGAACUGUUUAAAACUAUUAGAAAUGGAAAAACCAACAAGGACCAUUGAUAAUUGUAAAACAAUCUGUUCUGUUUAAUUGUUAAAACAAAACUUGUAAUCAUAUUUAUUGGAACACUAGCUAGAAAACUUUCCAAAUUAAAGUGGUAGAACAAUGUUCAGUUGAUAAUAAAACACAAACCAGCAGCUGACCAUCAUGUCUAGAGUUGACAAAAGGUCCCACAAUUUGUCCAACUUGAUUAUUAAUCUUAAUCCCAGCAAAGCUUUAUACUGUAAAUUCAGAAAUUUUCUUUUGGUCACUGAAUAUUAUUUUAGAUAUAUUUGAAAUUAAGUACUUUUUAAUUGAGUUUACUGCUGCUGGUCAUUUACAAGACAGCAAUACAAAAUCCAACAGAUUCAGAUUCACCAGAUAGUUUGUGUAAACCUCCAGCUCUUAGUUACCAGUUUACCGAGAUGAAUCUCUUUCAACACAGCAAUUAGAAAAUUUAAGAGUAAAAUAAAAAAAAAAAAGACUGGACAGCUAGAAGUAGAAGUAACAUUUGGGGUAGUGAGGUGGUAUAAGUUAUAUAUAAGUUAAGAAAAGAGGCUGGCAAAUUGGAACUUUAGGGUUGAUGCUUUGAAUAAUGUUAUUCAUUUGUCUGAUAUUUACCAUUAUGUACAUAUGUGUUGUUAAAGUCUAUAAAAUUAUGCCUCAUGUCUUGAACUUCUAUUACACUCUGAAAUGCAGCAGAUGCACCAUUUUGCCUUGAGUCCAAAAAAUGGAAAAGUGGGAUCGGGCUCCCCAUUCAAUACAUACUAAAUAAAGGUUGACGAGCUAUGCAAACUAAGCCACUGUUAAAGUUUUUUUGACAG